rnacentral:rRNA from 1 species
GAUGAACGCUGGCGGCGUGCCUAAUACAUGCAAGUCGAGCGAACAGACGAGGAGCUUGCUCCUCUGACGUUAGCGGCGGACGGGUGAGUAACACGUGGAUAACCUACCUAUAAGACUGGGAUAACUUCGGGAAACCGGAGCUAAUACCGGAUAAUAUAUUGAACCGCAUGGUUCAAUAGUGAAAGACGGUUUUGCUGUCACUUAUAGAUGGAUCCGCGCCGCAUUAGCUAGUUGGUAAGGUAACGGCUUACCAAGGCAACGAUGCGUAGCCGACCUGAGAGGGUGAUCGGCCACACUGGAACUGAGACACGGUCCAGACUCCUACGGGAGGCAGCAGUAGGGAAUCUGCCCAAUGGGCGAAAGCUUGACGGAGCAACGCCGCGUGAGUGAUGAAGGUCUUCGGAUCGUAAAACUCUGUUAUUAGGGAAGAACAAAUGUGUAAGUAACUAUGCACGUCUUGACGGUACCUAAUCAGAAAGCCACGGCUAACUACGUG